GGGUUGUGAGGUUAAGCGACUAAGCGUACACGGUGGAUGCCCUGGCAGUCAGAGGCGAUGAAGGACGUGCUAAUCUGCGAAAAGCGUCGGUAAGGUGAUAUGAACCGUUAUAACCGGCGAUGUCCGAAUGGGGAAACCCAGUGUGAUUCGUCACACUAUCGUUAACUGAAUACAUAGGUUAACGAGGCGAACCGGGGGAACUGAAACAUCUAAGUACCCCGAGGAAAAGAAAUCAACCGAGAUUCCCCCAGUAGCGGCGAGCGAACGGGGAGCAGCCCAGAGUCUGAAUCAGCUUGUGUGUUAGUGGAACGGUCUGGAAAGUCCGACGGUACAGGGUGAUAGUCCCGUACACCAAAAUGCACAGGCUGUGAACUCGAAGAGUAGGGCGGGACACGUGGUAUCCUGUCUGAAUAUGGGGGGACCAUCCUCCAAGGCUAAAUACUCCUGACUGACCGAUAGUGAACCAGUACCGUGAGGGAAAGGCGAAAAGAACCCCGGCGAGGGGAGUGAAAAAGAACCUGAAACCGUGUACGUACAAGCAGUGGGAGCACCUUCGGGUGUGACUGCGUACCUUUUGUAUAAUGGGUCAGCGACUUAUAUUCUGUAGCAAGGUUAACCGUAUAGGGGAGCCGCAGGGAAACCGAGUCUUAACUGGGCGUUAAGUUGCAGGGUAUAGACCCGAAACCCGGUGAUCUAGCCAUGGGCAGGUUGAAGGUUGGGUAACACUAACUGGAGGACCGAACCGACUAAUGUUGAAAAAUUAGCGGAUGACUUGUGGCUGGGGGUGAAAGGCCAAUCAAACCGGGAGAUAGCUGGUUCUCCCCGAAAGCUAUUUAGGUAGCGCCUCGUGAAUUCAUCUUCGGGGGUAGAGCACUGUUUCGGCUAGGGGGUCAUCCCGACUUACCAACCCGAUGCAAACUACGAAUACCGAAGAAUGUUAUCACGGGAGACACACGGCGGGUGCUAACGUCCGUCGUGAAGAGGGAAACAACCCAGACCGCCAGCUAAGGUCCCAAAGUCAUGGUUAAGUGGGAAACGAUGUGGGAAGGCACAGACAGCCAGGAUGUUGGCUUAGAAGCAGCCAUCAUUUAAAGAAAGCGUAAUAGCUCACUGGUCGAGUCGGCCUGCGCGGAAGAUGUAACGGGGCUAAACCAUGCACCGAAGCUGCGGCAGCGACACUAUGUGUUGUUGGGUAGGGGAGCGUUCUGUAAGCCUGCGAAGGUGACCUGUGAGGGUUGCUGGAGGUAUCAGAAGUGCGAAUGCUGACAUAAGUAACGAUAAAGCGGGUGAAAAGCCCGCUCGCCGGAAGACCAAGGGUUCCUGUCCAACGUUAAUCGGGGCAGGGUGAGUCGACCCCUAAGGCGAGGCCGAAAGGCGUAGUCGAUGGGAAACAGGUUAAUAUUCCUGUACUUGGUGUUACUGCGAAGGGGGGACGGAGAAGGCUAUGUUAGCCGGGCGACGGUUGUCCCGGUUUAAGCAUGUAGGCUGAUUGUCCAGGCAAAUCCGGAUAAUCAAGGCUGAGGUGUGAUGACGAGGCACUACGGUGCUGAAGUAACAAAUGCCCUGCUUCCAGGAAAAGCCUCUAAGCAUCAGGUAACAUCAAAUCGUACCCCAAACCGACACAGGUGGUCAGGUAGAGAAUACCAAGGCGCUUGAGAGAACUCGGGUGAAGGAACUAGGCAAAAUGGUGCCGUAACUUCGGGAGAAGGCACGCUGGUGUGUAGGUGAAGUCCCUGCGGAUGGAGCUGAGACCAGUCGAAGAUACCAGCUGGCUGCAACUGUUUAUUAAAAACACAGCACUGUGCAAACACGAAAGUGGACGUAUACGGUGUGACGCCUGCCCGGUGCCGGAAGGUUAAUUGAUGGGGUUAUCCGUAAGGAGAAGCUCUUGAUCGAAGCCCCGGUAAACGGCGGCCGUAACUAUAACGGUCCUAAGGUAGCGAAAUUCCUUGUCGGGUAAGUUCCGACCUGCACGAAUGGCGUAAUGAUGGCCAGGCUGUCUCCACCCGAGACUCAGUGAAAUUGAACUCGCUGUGAAGAUGCAGUGUACCCGCGGCAAGACGGAAAGACCCCGUGAACCUUUACUAUAGCUUGACACUGAACAUUGAGCCUUGAUGUGUAGGAUAGGUGGGAGGCUUUGAAGCGUGGACGCCAGUCUGCGUGGAGCCAACCUUGAAAUACCACCCUUUAAUGUUUGAUGUUCUAACGUUGGCCCCUUACCGGGGUUGCGGACAGUGUCUGGUGGGUAGUUUGACUGGGGCGGUCUCCUCCCAAAGCGUAACGGAGGAGCACGAAGGUUAGCUAAUCCUGGUCGGACAUCAGGAGGUUAGUGCAAUGGCAUAAGCUAGCUUGACUGCGAGCGUGACGGCGCGAGCAGGUGCGAAAGCAGGUCAUAGUGAUCCGGUGGUUCUGAAUGGAAGGGCCAUCGCUCAACGGAUAAAAGGUACUCCGGGGAUAACAGGCUGAUACCGCCCAAGAGUUCAUAUCGACGGCGGUGUUUGGCACCUCGAUGUCGGCUCAUCACAUCCUGGGGCUGAAGUAGGUCCCAAGGGUAUGGCUGUUCGCCAUUUAAAGUGGUACGCGAGCUGGGUUUAGAACGUCGUGAGACAGUUCGGUCCCUAUCUGCCGUGGGCGCUGGAGAAUUGAGGGGGGCUGCUCCUAGUACGAGAGGACCGGAGUGGACGCAUCACUGGUGUUCGGGUUGUCAUGCCAAUGGCACUGCCCGGUAGCUAAAUGCGGAAGAGAUAAGUGCUGAAAGCAUCUAAGCACGAAACUUGCCCCGAGAUGAGUUCUCCCUGAGACUUUAAGUCUCCUGAAGGAACGUUGAAGACGAUGACGUUGAUAGGCCGGGUGUGUAAGCGCAGCGAUGCGUUGAGCUAACCGGUACUAAUGAACCGUGAGGCUUAACCUUACAACGCCGAAG
rnacentral:rRNA from 1 species